rnacentral:rRNA from 1 species
UACGGGGGGGGCAAGCGUUGUUCGGAAUUACCGGGCGUAAAGGGCUCGUAGGCGGCCAACUAAGUCAGACGUGAAAUCCCUCGGCUUAACCGGGGAACUGCGUCUGAUACUGGUUGGCUUGAAUCCGGGAGAGGGAUGUGGAAUUCCAGGUGUAGCGGUGAAAUGCGUAGAUAUCUGGAGGAACACCGGUGGCGAAGGCGGCAUCCUGGACCGGUAUUGACGCUGAGGAGCGAAAGCCAGGGGAGCAAACGGG